rnacentral:rRNA from 1 species
GGAGGCAGCAGUGAGGAAUAUUGGUCAAUGGGCGAGAGCCUGAACCAGCCAAGUCGCGUGAGGGAAGACGGUCCUACGGAUUGUAAACCUCUUUUGUCGGGGAGCAAUAAAGCGUACGCGUACGCAGAUGCGAGUACCCGAAGAAAAAGCAUCGGCUAACUCCGUGCCAGCAGCCGCGGUAAUACGGAGGAUGCGAGCGUUAUCCGGAUUUAUUGGGUUUAAAGGGUGCGCAGGCGGAAAGUGCAAGUCAGCGGUCAAACGACGGGGCUCAACCCCGUCUCGCCGUUGAAACUGUCUUUCUAGAGUGAGCGAGAAGUAUGCGGAAUGCGUGGUGUAGCGGUGAAAUGCAUAGAUAUCACGCAGAACUCCGAUUGCGAAGGCAGCAUACCGGCGCUCAACUGACGCUCAUGCACGAAAGCGUGGGUAUCGAACAGGAUUAGAUACCCUGGUAGUCCACGCAGUAAACGAUGAAUACUAAUUGUCCGGGCAGAAUGGUGCCUGGGUGAUACAGCGAAAGCGUUAAGUAUUCCACCUGGGGAGUACGCCGGCAACGGUGAAACUCAAAGGAAUUGACGGGGGCCCGCACAAGCGGAGGAACAUGUGGUUUAAUUCGAUGAUACGCGAGGAACCUUACCCGGGCUUGAAUUGCAGAGGAAGGAUUUGGAGACAAUGACGCCCUUCGGGGCCUCUGUGAAGGUGCUGCAUGGUUGUCGUCAGCUCGUGCCGUGAGGUGUCGGCUUAAGUGCCAUAACGAGCGCAACCCCUACCGCCAGUUGCCAGCAGGUAAAGCUGGGGACUCUGGCGGGACUGCCGGCGCAAGCUGCGAGGAAGGCGGGGAUGACGUCAAAUCAGCACGGCCCUUACGUCCGGGGCGACACACGUGUUACAAUGGCAGGUACAGCGGGAAGCCACCUGGCGACAGGGCGCGGAACCCGAAAACCUGUCUCAGUUCGGAUUGGAGUCUGCAACCCGACUCCAUGAAGCUGGAUUCGCUAGUAAUCGCGCAUCAGCCA